rnacentral:rRNA from 1 species
UACGGAGGGUGUAAGCGUUAUCCGGAUUCACUGGGUUUAAAGGGUGCGUAGGCGGGUAAGUAAGUCCGUGGUGAAAUCUCUGAGCUUAACUCAGAAACUGCCGUGGAUACUAUUUGCCUUGAAUAUUGUGGAGGUGAGCGGAAUAUGUCAUGUAGCGGUGAAAUGCUUAGAUAUGACAUAGAACACCAAUUGCGAAGGCAGCUCACUACACAAUCAUUGACGCUGAGGCACGAAAGCGUGGGGAUCAAACAGG